rnacentral:rRNA from 1 species
GAUGAACGCUAGCUACAGGCUUAACACAUGCAAGUCGAGGGGCAGCAUGGUCUUAGCUUGCUAAGGCCGAUGGCGACCGGCGCACGGGUGAGUAACACGUAUCCAACCUGCCGUCUACUCUUGGACAGCCUUCUGAAAGGAAGAUUAAUACAAGAUGGCAUCAUGAGUCCACAUGUUCACAUGAUUAAAGGUAUUCCGGUAGACGAUGGGGAUGCGUUCCAUUAGAUAGUAGGCGGGGUAACGGCCCACCUAGUCUUCGAUGGAUAGGGGUUCUGAGAGGAAGGUCCCCCACAUUGGAACUGAGACACGGUCCAAACUCCUACGGGAGGCAGCAGUGAGGAAUAUUGGUCAAUGGGCGCAGGCCUGAACCAGCCAAGUAGCGUGAAGGAUGACUGCCCUAUGGGUUGUAAACUUCUUUUAUAAAGGAAUAAAGUCGGGUAUGCAUACCCGUUUGCAUGUACUUUAUGAAUAAGGAUCGGCUAACUCCGUGCCAGCAGCCGCGGUAAUACGGAGGAUCCGAGCGUUAUCCGGAUUUAUUGGGUUUAAAGGGAGCGUAGAUGGAUGUUUAAGUCAGUUGUGAAAGUUUGCGGCUCAACCGUAAAAUUGCAGUUGAUACUGGAUAUCUUGAGUGCAGUUGAGGCAGGCGGAAUUCGUGGUGUAGCGGUGAAAUGCUUAGAUAUCACGAAGAACUCCGAUUGCGAAGGCAGCCUGCUAAGCUGCAACUGACAUUGAGGCUCGAAAGUGU